rnacentral:ncRNA from 2 species
AAGAAUCUUCAGGGCGGGGUGUAAGUCCCCACCGGCGGUAAAGCCCGCGAACCGAAAGGUUGAUCUGGUGUAAUUCCAGAGCCGACAGUUAUAGUCUGGAUGGAAGAAGAGGUUU